UUCUCUUUGGUGUAGUCGGAAAGGGCUUGGUUUUAGCACAUAAUAGGUCGUGGGUUCGAAUCCCACUCAUGGAAAA